rnacentral:rRNA from 1 species
UACGAAGGGUGCAAGCGUUACUCGGAAUUACUGGGCGUAAAGCGUGCGUAGGUGGUGAGUUAAGUCUGUCGUGAAAGCCCCGGGCUCAACCUGGGAAUGGCGAUGGAUACUGGCUCGCUAGAGUGCGGUAGAGGAGAGUGGAAUUCCCGGUGUAGCAGUGAAAUGCGUAGAGAUCGGGAGGAACAUCAGUUGCGAAGGCGGCUCUCUGGACCAGCACUGACACUGAGGCACGAAAGCGUGAGGAGCAAACAGG